AGGGUUCGAUCAUGGCUCAGGAUAAACGCUGGCGGCGCACAUAAGGCAUGCAAGUCGAACGGACUUAACCGUUAGUUUACUAAUGGAGCGGUUAGUGGCGGACUGGUGAGUAACACGUAAGCAACCUGCCUAUCAGAGGGGAACAACAGUUAGAAAUGACUGCUAAUACCGCAUAUGCCUUAGCAACACAUGUUGCAAAAGGGAAAGGAGCAAUCCGCUGAUAGAUGGGCUUGCGUCUGAUUAGAUAGUUGGUGGGGUAACGGCCUACCAAGUCGACGAUCAGUAGCCGGACUGAGAGGUUGAACGGCCACAUUGGGACUGAGAUACGGCCCAG
rnacentral:rRNA from 1 species